rnacentral:tRNA from 1 species
AACUAGAUGGUAUUAAUGGGUAAAAUACACUAAAUGGGUAGCAUUUAGAGAUAUUGGUUCAAAUCCAAUUUUAGUUA